AUAAACCAGACGUUAUUUUACCAGGGCGGGAGCGGGGAACCCACCGCGCUUUCGCGCACGGGGUGAAGCCGCGCACCGCGCGGCCUGGCACCUCCGCCAGAACCCGACAGCUAACUUCGCAGGCGAGAACAAGAGAGGACAC
rnacentral:sRNA from 1 species